AUGUAUGACUGUGUGGGCGCGCGCGCGCGCGCGCCCGUGUUGCGGGGGUUGAGAGUAAGUCAGCUUCCAGGCGAUCUGCUGUGUGGUGACUAUGCCUGCUCAAGCGAAACCCCCCUCUCUCUAGUGUUGCUUUGCUACAUAGCGCAGAUUUUCGUCUUUCUUUUGGCGCGCCCGUGCCUACUGGAGGUCUGGCAUAAGCAGGAUUCUAGGACUGACAGUGAGGAAGAGAGAAUGGACAUGGUGGUAAAGAUGAAAAAGGAAAGGAUAAUCAGUGUUGGAAGGACCAAGGGAAGAUAA
ensembl:lncRNA